GGAAGGGGUGUAUUUAUUAGAUAAAAAACCAUCGUCUUCGGACUUUUUGGUGAUUCAUAAUAACUAAACGUAGCGCAUGGCCUUGAGCUGGCGCAAAAUCAUUCAAAUACCUGCCCUAUCAAGCUUCGAUGUGAGGGUAGUGUCCUCACAUGCUUUUGACGGGUAACGGGGAAUUAGGGUUCGACUCCGGAGAGGGAGCCUGAGAAAUGGCUACCACAUCCAAGGAAGGCAGCAGGCGCGCAAAUUACCCAAUCCCGACUCGGGGAGGUAGUGACAAGAAAUACCGAUACAGGACUCUUUUGGGUCUUGUAAUCGGAAUGAGUACAAUUUAAAACCAUUAACGAGGAACAAUUGGAGGGCAAGUCUGGUGCCAGCAGCCGCGGUAACUCCAGCUCCAAUAGCGUAUAUUAAAGUUGUUGCAGUUAAAAAGCUCGUAGUUGAACCUUGGUUUUGGUUAGCCGGUCCGCCUCACCGCGUGUUACUGGUUUGACCGAAACUUUCCUCUUGGAGAACCGCAUGCCCUUUACUGGGUGUGUUGGGGAACCAGGACUUUUAC
rnacentral:rRNA from 1 species